rnacentral:rRNA from 1 species
AUUGAACGCUGGCGGCAUGCCUUACACAUGCAAGUCGAACGGCAGCACGGGAGCAAUCCUGGUGGCGAGUGGCGAACGGGUGAGUAAUAUAUCGGAACGUGCCCAGUCGUGGGGGAUAACGUAGCGAAAGCUACGCUAAUACCGCAUACGAUCUAUGGAUGAAAGCGGGGGAUCGCAAGACCUCGCGCGAUUGGAGCGGCCGAUAUCAGAUUAGGUAGUUGGUGAGGUAAAGGCUCACCAAGCCGACGAUCUGUAGCUGGUCUGAGAAGACGACCCGCCAAACUGGGACGGAGACACGGCCCAGACUCCUACGGGAGGCAGCAGUGGGGAAUUUUGGACAAUGGGCGCAAGCCUGAUCCAGAAAUGCCGCGUGCAGGAUGAAGGGCUUCGGGUUGUAAACUGCUUUUGUACGGAGCGAAAAGGCUCUCUCUAAUACAGGGGGCUCAUGACGGUACCGUAAGAAUAAGCACCGGCUAACUACGUGCCAGCCGCCGCCGUAAGAC